CACCGCGGUUAUACGAGAGGCCCAAGCUGAUAGACACCGGCGUAAAGAGUGGUUAAUAAAAAUGAAACUAAAGCUAAACACCCUCAAAGCCGUUAUACGCAACCGAAGGCAGGAAAACCCCCCACGAAAGUGGCUUUAAAACUAUGAACCCACGAAAACUAGGAUACAAACUGGGAUUAGAUACCCCACUAUGCCUAGCCUUAAACACAAGUAGCACCCCGCCCCCGCUGCUCGCCCGGGGACUACAAGCACUAGCUCAAAACCCAAAGGACUUGGCGGUGCUUUAGAACCACCUAGAGGAGCCUGUUCUACAACCGAUAAUCCCCGCUCAACCUCACCCUUUCUUGCCACUCCCGCCUAUAUACCGCCGUCGUCAGCUUACCCUAUAAAGGCCUAAUAGUAAGCAAAAUUGGUACAACCCAACACGUCAGGUCGAGGUGUAGCACACGAAAGGGAAAGAAAUGGGCUACACUCCCUGGCACAGGAAACACAGACGAUAACUUGAAAUAUUUAUCUAAAGGUGGAUUUAGCAGUAAGAAGGAAAAUAGAGAAUUCCCCUGAAACUGGCCCUGAAGCGCGCACACACCGCCCGUCACUCUCCCCAAGCCCCUACAAGCUCAAAUAUAUAAAAAUACCAACCGCAAAGGGGAGGCAAGUCGUAACAUGGUAAGUGUACCGGAAGGUGUACUUGGCAAAAUCAGAGCGCAGCUAAA
rnacentral:rRNA from 1 species